CCUCUCGUAGUGUAGUGGUAACGUGCCUUAUCUUAUGAACAGGGAGUCGUGGGUUCGAUUCUCACCGAGAAGA
rnacentral:tRNA from 1 species